UUGCAGCUAUGAAUGGUUUUCAGCAGUAUUUUUAUCCUUUUUUUCAUGUCAGGAGCAACUUGAGAAACUGCAAGUCACUUCUGGUUUGAGAGAAUUGGCUGUCUGCAAGGAUGUUGCCCAGGGGACGCCCGGAUGUUUUGAUGUUUUUACCAUCCUCGUGGGAGGCUUCUCUCAUGUCCUUGCAUGGAGCUGGAACCUGAUCUAUGUUGUGAUUUAGGGUGCGUCCCAUGUUGUGAGAACAGUGGAAUAUCAAUUCAAAUAAUAAAAGAAAAAAUCUACAAAACCUAUUACUCUUUGCUAAAAAAAAUAGCCAUGCUUCUAUGAAUAUCUGGAUCUGCCUAAACAGGAAUAAAGAAAUUUUGGCCUGCAGGCAUUCUCAGUCCAACCUGCAAAGGGUCCAUGGGCUUGCCUACAGUAAUAAUAAUGAUGUAAAACAAUACAUAUGUCCUCUGAAUCUGGAGCUGACAGUUUUCAUGGCGACUUCUGCCAUUGCUUCAGCAUCCUGCGGUCUCCCCAACUUUGCACACUUCAGAUGAAAGCCGGGGAAGGCAUCACGCGGCAAGGCUUCUGAUACAAGACAGACUAUAAGCUACAUCAAGUUUAAGAGGACCAUUGCUCCAAAAUGUAAAUUACUCUAACAUUUUAUUUUAUAAAAUGAUCCUGCUUUGAGUUACUUAAUUUUUUUGGAGGAGGCAAUAGGAGCCAACAAGGUCAUGAUGACAAGUUCUGCAAUAUAAAGAAAAUGCACACAAUACUAUCAUCUCAGUUCACAAUGAUACAAUGAGUUCAAAAGCAUCAUAACAAACUGUCAUGGGACCAAUUCCCAGGGCUGAAUUUGCAAGUCCUGGAAUUGGAGCCAUAACAUCAACAAUCCUGAAUGUUUCUUGAAACCACCUGGCAACAGAGCCUGGGAACUCGGGGUGGAAAAUCAUAACAAUUAUAAUGAGUAGUUAGUGUGGGAAUAGUAGAAAUGUGAUACAGGGGGUGGGGUUUGGUGAUGAUAUUUACGUGUGGUGUUACGUUGCAACCAAGGUGAUAAAAUUGCUUGUAUGUAAACAUUAUGUCAUUCUCGACUUUUCCAAGUCGUGUGUUCUUCAAUAAAGACCGGUUCUGAUAGCAGCUGUCUUUGAUCUGCGUUCAUGCUGGUUGUUUGAAGUGAGCAGGACAAUUAAGUCGAGAAUCCCUUAUUCUCACCCUCCUGCGGAAUAGCAGUGAAGUGGAAAUGAGUGGAGGGGGCGAUCAAAGCCCGAAAGGAGCAGAGGGGCCCUUGCCAGAGGCGCGGCCGCUGGGAGAGGAAACGCUGCAAGCUAUCGCUUCCUCUACCGGAUACCC
rnacentral:lncRNA from 1 species